CUCAUCAGCCUCACCUGUACUUUGUGUUUAGUGCUAAUCAGUGAAUGUUAGCAUGCUAACACGCUAAACUAAGAUGGCGAACAUGGUGAUCGACGCACGAGCUAAACAUCAGCAUUUUAACGUUGUCAUUAGGGUCGCAACUACCGAUUAUUUUCUUAAUUAAUCAAUAGGCAUUUAUAACAUCACAAAACAGUUUAAAAUGCCCAUCGUGAUGUCAUCAAAUAUCUUUGUUUGUCCGACAGAAAGGCCAAAACCCAAAAAUAUUAAAUUUACUAUAAAGUUAAGACGAGGAAAAGCAGCAUAUUUUCAGAAGCUUAAACGAGAGAAUGUUGAGAUUUUUUUACUUUAAAAAUAACUUAAAUGAUUAAAUUAUCAAAAUAGUUGCUGAUUCAUUUUUUUGUAGCUCAACUAAUUGAUUAGUUGCAGGUUUUUUCUGUUAUGUAAGCACUUUAGCUGCUAAUGUUAGCAUUUACGUUUGCAUUUACCUUCCUCAAAGAGCGGCUAGCAUGGCUGCAGACUCUUAGUCUGUUUUAUUUCUACAUGUAGCUUCAUUAGUUGUAACAAGUGAACCUCAGCCUUCAAUUAAAGUAAUUUAUAAAUCAGUAGUAAGUAAAAACAUCUGCUAUGUUGCUGCCUCAAAUUUUCCAUUAAAAUGUAUUGUUUUCUGCCCAUGGAAGUCUUAUUGUCUCACUUUUAGGAAAAUGUUAAUCAUCUACGAUCACAGCCAUACGGACACAACACAGAUCUGACCAGAUCUGUGUGUUUGACAUGUAGAGAGGCGACCGAACCGCCCAAUACACCUCAGGUCAGGUGACCAAAGGGCCAAAUUCCCAUAAAGUCAGUGUUCUCCUUUAAUUCCUGUCACAGCUGGAAUCAAUCAGAAGAAAAUGAAAGAAAGAAACUCAACCCAACAGAGAAGUCGGUGUGUCGUCCUGACUGUGUCCUCUGCUCAACUUAAAUCUACAGUAUAUAAACCCAUGAGGAAUUUCAUGAAUGCUCUCUGUGCCUUGUGUCAGAGGGGAGACUAAGCUGCUUUCACUCCACCAGCUCUGCUGUGUUGGCCGCCUGGACUCAACUGUGAAAUCCCCUCAUAGGAACCAACGGUACUCUCACCUUAUUUGAGUUUGGAUGACGGAGUCAAGAGGUUGUUGGUGCCUUUAUUUGGUUUCUUUUAAGACAAACCUGUAUAUUUCACACAAGGAAAUUACAAAAAAAAGACAUUCAAAUCCACUGCAACUACCAGUUUUAUGUGCCCGGACUUGAUAUUAAACAAGAUGCAAGAAAAACAGGAGAAAAAAAACAACGAAGGCCUUAUCUGACAAAGCAGAGAAACCGGAGACGGUGGCCUGGACUCCACCCAUGUCUGUGUACAGCUGACCCUAGAUUAACCUCCCAGAUACAAAUCACAACCACUCAUGCAAAAACUGUCCAGCUCGGUUCCAGUUCAGCUCCUGGACAAGUGUGAACAAAAUGUCAACAGUUUCCAGUCCACCCACAUUCAGACACCUUCACUGGAGCGGGCGAGAGGCCAAAAGGUCGACGGAUGACAACAGGCGACGUGGUGCAAUCGAUCGUCCUAUUGAACAGAGUAUGAAGGCGUCAGACCCUCAGCUCAGGUUAAAACAACACUCAACACACACACACACAAGCGUUAAAGUGAUGAACUGGUCCAAUAACAUUUUUUUUUAUGAAGCAUCAGAUAUCAGUCAGUCGUGACGGAUUUUCCUUGAAUGGAAAACUGUCGUAAAUCCUUUGACAUUUAUUUUCUUAGAUUUUAUAUUUAUCUGUUUCAUUUUCCAACCUUGGCUCCUAAUUUUAAGGCUCUAACAACAUUUUAGAGGCUUCUUCACCCUGGAAAUAAUGAAAUGCUGAUGAAAGAACUGAUUACUUGUAGUUUUUGGUAAGAAAAUGGUCAAAUUGGAAGAUUUUCAAUAUUGGUUAUCAGUCACUCUGCUUUAAAAACCUUGUGCUGCUCGAACCAUUGAACCCUUUGUUAACCCGAAACAUCUUCUCAAAGCACUCCAAGUAUUUGGAUCUUUAAAAGAAAGGUGUGUUAAACAAAGAGAUUAACUGUUUGACUGUUAGAUUAUAUCAUCAACUUAAUCACUCAUAAACCUUUUCUAAGGUAAAGGUGGACUUUUUUGGUUCCUCCCUCGCUGAAGAAGCCAAACCUCUCGCUGCAGUUCAGACGAGGCCAAACGCUUUGGCAUCAACAUAUUUACUUUUGUUCUCAACAUGUUGUUGUUCUGAUGAGGAAAAACAAAAAACCUGAUGAAUAUUCAGUCCAUAGAUUUAAAUGAAGGUUAGAAGGAGAGUCUGAGGAACUAGUUUGGAUUUGUGCUUUUGUACGUUAUAAAAUGUUUAGUGCAUUGCAUCCAUUAACUCUGUCCUUGUUUUUCUAAUCAUUUCCAUCUUGACAGAAGGUUGAUAAUUAUUUCUAUACAGUAUGUUCAUGAGGGUUUAUCUGUCCGGAUUUGUUUCAGAUAUCAUUUUAAAAUACCUGUUGAUUCAUGGUGUGUUUAAAUAGUGUAGAGCGACUUGAUGGUGCUUUAAAAGAAGUUCCUAAAAGUAAAUUAAGCUGAUGUUUGUGUUUGAUUGUGAAUGUCUUGAAAAUGAUUUAAAAACCAUCGUCUCUAAGUCAGUCUGAUAUCUACAUAUUGGCAUAAAUCACAACGGAAAUGAACAAAAUACAUCAAGUAUUAUGUGAAUAAUCAAUUUUAAUAGUUUAGAUGUUAUUCUUUAUUGUAACAUGAAUUUCAGAUUUUUUUUUUUUUUUUUGUUUGCUUAAUUUAAAUAUUAUAUGCUUCAUCUCCUUCAUCAAACUCAAAUCAAUCUAAUCAAAUGACAUUGUUUACCAAACAUUUCUGCAUGUUUAUGGCAUCUCAGUGGGAGUUUUGGGGGAAAUAUUCUCUUAAUUAUUCUUGUAUUUUGUCCUAAAACGGUAGAUUCCUAAAUUUAACCACGAAAAUAAAACUACCAGCAGCUGAAGGCUGUAACAAAAGCAAAUUAGAGUGAGGCUCCAAAACACAGAGAAAUAUAUUAAAUAUUCUUUAGACAAUGUUUGAAAAUAUUUGAAUAUGACUAACAAGAUGUUUGCUCCACAAAGUGCGAUGCUAACUUGCCUGUUAAAUAAGUUGCUCUGGCGGUUCAAACUAUUUGCAUCACAGGAUCUUUUCUUCGCUUUUAAACAAAACGUGAUGUUGUUUCACCUGCGGCUUAAUUCUGCAGCUGUAAACAAACCCAGAAGUUUAUAUAACAAUCUACGGAUCGUAAAUGUUAUAUUUUGUCCUAUUGUUUUCCACAAUAACACGUUUGCCAUUUUGAUUCUUUCUGCAUGCUGGGAAACAAAACCUCCAACCAAACCUCUCACAUUAGAUCUCAGUGUGCAGGAUGAAGUAUAUUUUCAGUAUUUUAGCCUUUAAGUUUCGUUAAUAUGAAGCCCACAACUUCUCUCAUCCCCAGAUUUUCCUCCCUGUUUUAUUCGUUCUCUUUAUUUUAUUCCAAAGGAUGUAAGUUUCCUCGUGUUUUCUACUUUUAUUCACAUUGUGCAGCUGUUUAAUUAGUCAACUUGUGUCCUGAUAUGUCUCCUGCAUGUGUGUCAUGUUGGCUGCAGCUUCACAUCCUCAGAGGAAACAUUAAAUAGCGGAUCCCCCCUUUUACGCAGCUCUUUUCAUUUCUGCGGGUGUUUGAAGGUGAGCAGCUGUCCCGUGUGAGACCUGUUGGUCUCGCUCAGACUCCUUAAACAAUCCCACAAGAUUGGUCGCAAAUGUUUGUUUGAUGCAAAUCCGAACAAAUCCGCCGCUGUUCGUGGACACUCGCUGCGCUGUUUGUGCGUCUUGGCGCAAACAUGUUUAAUGUCCCGGUCGGCAGAUAUUUAUUCAGCUGCUGCGAGCUUCAUUUACAUAAAGAGGGAGAGAGAGACAACACACGGCUGGCUGCAGCUGAAACAUGCUCUGCACAGGCAAUAUGUAUCGAUCAGGUUGAUAAUAUGAUCAGGCUGCUGGGAGGGAUUAUCGAUGGCUUUCUAGGACAGCGGUUCUCAACAUUUAAGGCUUUAAAAAGAAACAAAGCCAGCUGUGACCCCUCAUCACAGGCUGUAGAAAGACUUCACAAGGGAUGAUUUUUAGAGGACUGAGGAGGUAAAACUACAAUAUCACUGGAAAAAUAGCAAAAAUCAGACAAAAAUAAACUUGAUUUCUUGCUGAUCGUCCUGUGACGCCUGCGCCUCCAAAACUUUUUGGCUCGUGUGACCCUUUAAACCCGCGACCCCUCGUCAAAAGUUUACAUAUUUGUAUGAUGAGCUGUAGAGAGUGAUCUUUACCGUCAGAUUAUUCAUCUCAAUAUUGAGAUGUAAAACGACCUAAUAUUUGACAAGUCAAACGCAAAGAUAUGAGAAAUAUAGUUUUAUGUAGCAGAAAUGUGUUUUUCUUCUUGUUAGUCAUCUUAUGACUUAGUUGAAACUAUUGCAACCAAAGCAUUUUUUAAAUAAUUACUUUUUUUCAAUCAAAAAUGCCACGUAUUUUCUGGUUUUUGCUUCUCAAAUGUAAGGAUUGCCUUUGUCUUAUGUGAUAACACUGAAUAUCUUUUGGGUUUUGGACUAAAAAAAUAAAACAACAAUACGAAGAGGUCACAUUGGGCACAUUUUAUAGACAAAACAAGCAAUCUAUUAAUCGAGAAAAUAAUCAGCAGAUUCACUUAAUGAAAAUAAUCGUUAGUUGCAGCUCUCAUUAGAGCACAUUCAAUGGCUGGACACUGCAAAAGCCUCAAGAAAAACUGUUAGUUUCUGCUUUAUUUUCUUAUCGGAAAUUAUUUGAAGAACCUCGUAAAUAAAAAGGCAGGAAAGGGCGCACAACCUGCUCCUUUGGGGGGUAAUUUCUUUGCACAAGGACGGUUGUUUUAUUGGGGCAAUUAAUUUGCAUGAAAUCUGUUUCAUCGCCUCCUCUCCUCUCAGUGCGGCCUUCACUGGUAAAAACAUGCUCGUCCAAAACAACCUUGCCAGAGAACUGACGCGAUAUAUAUAUAUAUAUAUAUAUUUUUUUUUUUUUUUUUCUCCCCCCUCCUUUUUUAUAAUGCGUUUAUGCUCGCAGGCAUAACACACACACACACACACUUAGAUCUGACCCCCUAACCUGGCCCCACCUACGUAAUUACCGCAUCAGAGGCAGCGAAAUUCCUGCAGGUUAUUUUGGAGAAACCAACUCAGGGCGCACGAGUAAUUAUCACGCCAUUACAGCGCUGCAUUCAAUUACGCCUCGAUCAAAUGUCUCCAGGCUCAAUAUUUAGGGCUUUUUAACGCCGCAGUUUAAAAAGACACUUGGUCUCCCUAAAGCGAGGGGAGAUGUUAGUGUUUCAAUUUAAAGACGGGGACAGAGAGGAUUAAAACUGGCUGCUCUCUAAAAUGGAAAUGCGGGCCUACACGGCUGGUAUUAAUUAUGGGACUCAUUUGCAUUUACCCCGUUAUAAUUAGGAAAAAACAAACUCAACAAGCUUUUGAAUAAAACUAUGACUAAUUCAAAUGAGAAAACGAGUUUGUAAUUUCCUGGUGUACAUGCAUCUAAAAAAAACAAACAAACAACAACAACGUGACUCCCUGUUGGGAAUCAAACUGAGACAGAAUCCACUGUGGAAAAUAAGUAUAUGACUUUACGGAUCUUUAUUGGAUGAACAUGUAUGUAAGGGUGGUCGCCUUAAAGAUACAUUCAACAUCUUACUGUCAUUUUGGAGCUAUAAAUCCACAUUUCCUCUCCAAAAAUAAAAAUGCUCUGACUCCAAUAUCAAGCCAAGUGCUGCGGUUCAAACAUGUCCAAUAUCACGACAAUGCCCAAGAGAGGAGCUCUGCUUUUAAAAUGUAGAGGCUAGAAUAAUAAUUAUAAUAAUUAAUAAUAAUAAUAAUAUCCGAAAAACAAACUGUAAGCUGGACAAACGCCCAGAAUAGUUCUGCAUCUAUAUUUUAGAUUUACCAUUUCAAAUUGCCAAAACAUUUUUUUUUCCUGGAGUAAAACAAUGUAUAUAAAAGCUGAACUUUAUGGCCAAUUUGUUCUCUUUGGAAUAUUUGGAAAGAUUUACAUACAGGUUUUAUCUUUUUUUUUUUCCUCCCAAAGUGGUAAUAAACAAUUUAAAAUUCGAAAAAAAACAAAAAAAAACAACCCCACCAACUAAAACAUGGUCACUGCAACUGACCCAAAUACAUAUUUACAUAUUUCAGCUCCUCGACGUAGCUGACUAAAAAUCUCUGUCAUCCUAAAAUAACAAAUUUUCAGAAAUAAAAACUAUACAGGAUUUGAUUGGGUCGGAGGUAAAGAGGGGCACUGCAGGCAGUUCCUGUCGGUGCACCAGAGGGGAAAAUAUUCCUCCCAUCCAGAGAGCUGGUGGUCAAAGGAGUUUGGUUGAAAUGACUUUUUUUUUUGUUUUAUUUUGAAAAACAGUUUGAUUUUAUUAAGGUCAUCCAAGAAGGGGCGUCUUAUAAACCCACUCUUCAUCGUCAGGAAACCACCCUUGAUGUUUUCUCUUCACAGGACUUGAGGGGACUCUUCUUUUUUUUAAUUUUUUAAUUUUUAAAAGACGUGGAGGACGAGAGGGAGGAAAAACAAAGUCCGAUUGCUGAGCGUUCCUGCUGCUAUCUUGUUAUCUUACUGUUCAUAAACUCUUUUUUUGUCUUUAAAAACAAGCAAUAUGCUAAUCUGGAAAAUAAAAAGAAGAAGA